CGGGUGGUAAUGCCGGAUGCUCCAGUUGAUCGCAUGGUCUUCUGGGAAAGCUUUCGCGGUAUGGGAUGGGGUCGCGUCCUAUCAGCUUGACGGCGGGGUAACGGCCCACCGUGGCUUCGACGGGUAGCCGGCCUGAGAGGGCGACCGGCCACAUUGGGACUGAGAUACGGCCCAGACUCCUACGGGAGGCAGCAGUGGGGAAUAUUGCACAAUGGGCGCAAGCCUGAUGCAGCGACGCCGCGUGAGGGAUGGAGGCCUUCGGGUUGUAAACCUCUUUUAUCGGGGAGCAAGCGAGAGUGAGUUUACCCGUUGAAUAAGCACCGGCUAACUACGUGCCAGCAGCCGCGGUAAUACGUAGGGUGCAAGCGUUAUCCGGAAUUAUUGGGCGUAAAGGGCUCGUAGGCGGUUCGUCGCGUCCGGUGUGAAAGUCCAUCGCUUAACGGUGGAUCCGCGCCGGGUACGGGCGGGCUUGAGUGCGGUAGGGGAGACUGGAAUUCCCGGUGUAACGGUGGAAUGUGUAGAUAUCGAAAAAAACACCA
rnacentral:rRNA from 1 species